GUCUCUGAUGAUGAUCAAACAUAUAACUUUCGUUCUUCCGAGGGUUAAUGCCCAUGCGGAAAUGUUAUGGAGACCUGAACUGAGGAGGC
rfam:Capsicum annuum cultivar Zunla-1 chromosome 5, whole genome shotgun sequence